AGUGAACGCUGGCGGUAGGCCUAACACAUGCAAGUCGAACGGCAGCACAGUAAGAGCUUGCUCUUACGGGUGGCGAGUGGCGGACGGGUGAGGAAUACAUCGGAAUCUACUUUUUCGUGGGGGAUAACGUAGGGAAACUUACGCUAAUACCGCAUACGACCUACGGGUGAAAGCAGGGGAUCUUCGGACCUUGCGCGAUUGAAUGAGCCGAUGUCGGAUUAGCUGGUUGGCGGGGUAAAGGCCCACCAAGGCGACGAUCCGUAGCUGGUCUGAGAGGAUGAUCAGCCACACUGGAACAAAGACAGGGUCAAGACUAAUACGGGAGGCAGCAGUGGGGAAUAGGGGACAAUGGGCGCAAGACUGAUCCAGCCAUAACGCGUGGGAGAAGAAGGCCUUCGGGUUGUAAAGCCCUUUUGUUGGGAAAGAAAAGAAGAAGGUGAAUACCCCGCUGUUCUGACGGUACCCAAAGAAUAAGAACAGGCUAACUUCGUG
rnacentral:rRNA from 1 species